rnacentral:lncRNA from 1 species
UAUCCUGGUAACGAGGCAUUAACAGAACACUGGAUUUUAUCAAUUUCCAUAGGAUAGACGAGCAGAAGUAGAGAUUGGAAUAACUUCCUCCUUUCCCUUGACUCAUACAGGACUGGGGCAAGCCUUUGGGCACUGCAUUCUGAAGUUGACCUCAGAAUUUAAAACCAGUACCUUUCCAGAGCUGUUUGCUACAAACAUGAGCAUGGAAACCCCCUUUCCUGGCUAGAAUGAUAGAGUGUGACGCACAGUGGUUUGCAUCUUGUGGCUUCAUUAAACAAAGGCAAACUUGUAUGAAGGUGGCACAUCUGGACCAACGUGAUGCUUGGAAUACAAGCCUUACCAGCAAAAUCUACCUCAAGUGCAUGAGAAGAGAAGCCUUUCUUUGGCAGACUGCCAGGGUGCAGGUCUCGAGGAUACAGCUUUUUGUCAAGCACCCUUUGGUUCUCAGCAGCCUCGAUUUCACUACGCUGCUCAAGGCCCACAGGUGGUCACCAUGCAGGCAGGGUGAAUUAAAAGAUGGCGUGGAAGUCUGGCAGGCAUCUUGACAGAACUACUCUUGAAGAUGGGACCUACACAAGGGAAAAGGGAGUUCAGAAGUAGAAUGAGUAAAGGAGAAUUAUAUUAGUUGAGUGUCUGAAUCCACUGGUGUCUGAAGCAUAUUCUUUAUUAGACCCUCUGCUUGGGUAGGUGUUUUUUCACUUGUAACUACAGUUCUUACAAAAAUAUGUGUCUAUAUGAUAGGAAUAGUUCAUCCCUCUCUCAACUGUAUGUGACAAUGAUCCAAAAAAGGAUGGCAGGUUAGAGUGUACUAGAGCAUUCCACAUGGAGACACAAAAGUAGAAAGCCAUACAUUGUGGAGACCUUGCUCUCUAUGAGGCAUUAACUGUGUGAGAAUGUGUAUUGACAUGGGCUUUAUCACAUCUUUUUGUUAUUAUUUUAUAUUUGUUUACUCUUAGGCUUCAUUAAAAUGAGAAUUCCCUAUCUCUUUAUUCUUAAGGUUCAAUAUUGUAUCUGGGACAAAUUAGAUACAAAAUAAAUGUUACAACAAACAAUGAAUGAAUAUUCCUUAUUAAAAGUAUUGCCUAACAUGGUGCAAAAG